AGGAGAUCCUACUGUAGUAGGGUGGGAAAUGUGGAGACAGAGACACACAAGGAGAAUAUGAUGUGAACAUCAAGGCAGAUGGUGUGUGAUUCAUCCUCAUGAAGGAAUGUAAGAAAAGAUGCUGGACAUCAAAGGACAGAGCUGGAAGGAAACAGACCCGUUUACCCUGCACAGUGGUGAAGAAGAAGGAUUCUAAAGGCCACGUGUGAAAUUUUUCCACACUCAAAGAGUUUUAGUUUAGAACAAACGCCAUGUCUCUGUUGGCCACAAGAUGGCAGGAUUUCAGCACAUUCCUGCCAGCUGGCCAGCAUCCUCUCCCUAUCGGGGUUAAUGGAUGCUGGUAAUUUUGGCUUGACUAGAUCCUCUCAAGAGAUUUCACACUCUCAUAAAUGAAAUAUACAAAUAUGGUUCAACGA